ACCAGCUCUUCAAGUGGUCGGGACGAUUAUUGGGCUUAAAGUGUCCGUAGCCGGUUUGGUAAGUUCUUGGUUAAAUCUGACAGCUUAACUGUCAGCGUGCUAAGAAGACUGCCUUACUAGGGGGCGGGAAAGGUCUGAGGUACUCCAGGGGUAGCGGUGAAAUGUGAUAAUCCUUGGGGGACCACCAGUGGCGAAGGCGUCAGACUGGAACGCGCCCGACGGUGAGGGACGAAAGCUAGGGGAGCGAACGG
rnacentral:rRNA from 1 species